AUUGAACGCUGGCGGCAGGCCUAACACAUGCCAGUCGAACGGUAGCAGGAAGAAGCUUGCUUCUUCGCUGACGAGUGGCGGACGGGUGAGUAAUGUCUGGGAAACUGCCUGAUGGAGGGGGAUAACUACUGGAAACGGUAGCUAAUACCGCAUAACGUCGCAAGACCAAAGAGGGGGACCUUCGGGCCUCUUGCCAUCGGAUGUGCCCAGAUGGGAUUAGCUUGUUGGUGGGGUAACGGCUCACCAAGGCGACGAUCCCUAGCUGGUCUGAGAGGAUGACCAGCCACACUGGAACUGAGACACGGUCCAGACUCCUACGGGAGGCAGCAGUGGGGAAUAUUGCACAAUGGGCGCAAGCCUGAUGCAGCCAUGCCGCGUGUAUGAAGAAGGCCUUCGGGUUGUAAAGUACUUUCAGCGGGGAGGAAGGGAGUAAAGUUAAUACCUUUGCUCAUUGACGUUACCCGCAGAAGAAGCACCGGCUAACUCCGUG
rnacentral:rRNA from 1 species